AUAUUGUUUAAAAAGCAGCUAAACAACUAUGUAAAAAGAUAUGUCUUCAUAUAACUGUGCUUGGAACAAAGACAGUUAUUUUUCAUGAUGAGUCACAUUUUCAAAAUGUAUGUCAAAAGUUCAAAAUUUAUGCCAGGGUAUGCAAACUUAUGAGCACAACUGUACAAGGUAGUGAGUACAGUAUCCCCUUAUGUGGAUAAGAUGUAGCUGCCCUGAGGAGGGCUGUGUCAGGGAUUCAGCUGAAUUAUUGCUCUAACCAAGGUACAGGCUCACUGUAGUAGGCACACUCAUCCUUUGUACUAGGUCUGCUUUCAGUGGGGUUGCACAAACACAUUUUCACCCAGCGUCAGCUUUGUCUGCCUAUGCAGGAGUUGUAUCAAAUUGUGCUUUCAGAGCAUUUAUUUUAAUUCAAAUGAUUAAAAGAUGAGAGCAUAUACCAGUCCUCUCUUGAAGAGCACACUUUACACAAGAGCACACUUUGGCACAUCAACACACGUUUGUUCUUGUAACUGCUCAACAGUCCGUCCAUGAGCGGAUUUACCUGGGUUUUAAAUGGACAUUUUCUUGUUAUCAGAUCCUUCAUCAAAAGUGGAGAGCUAAUGUAUUUUCUGGACACAGUCCAGGCAGAUAUUUUGCAUGAGAAGUACCAAUCAUCAGCAUGAUGACCAAUAUGAUUCAAGGUACGAGGAACUUAAAGUACUGCUGCUGCUUCAAAAGGCAGGAUGACCGUGUUUGUCUUCAAUGGGAAGGGAACUGUAAGCUUUAAUUCUGCAGCUGGGACUGUAAGCCUGUAAGCAUCGGGUACGAGCUACUGUGGUGCCCUUAUUCAUUCGUCUAUUCUAUGUAUUACCACUGCACUACUGUGUAGCUGGAUGUGGCAGGUGUACGAGCUAGGCAUUAUUAGAUUUUUAUUUCCCAUGAUUUAUGGACAUGGGACUUUUUUCAGUAUUCAGUGUUUCUCGAAGUUCAAAAAUGAUACUGCUUUUGCUGCUGUUGUUGAUAAACCGCUGUUUAUUUCCCUGUGAAGCACAUUUCUAUCUUCCGAUGUGUUUUUUCGCUUGUGUUUUUUACGGACGUGUGAUAUUCUAUUCGAUCAAGGGCUGAUUUCAGUCUGUUUUCCUGAUGUAUAGAGGAGGUUGUAAUUAUCAGAAUGAACAAUUAUUUUCAUAAUUAUGGCAUGUUUUUAAUCUUGUGCCUGCCUUGUUGAUUGCGUGUCUGGCCUCAACAUUCCAGUCCUUUAAACUAUUCUGAAGGUCUCCUCUGCUUUGCUGAUAUAUUACACACGCCUUGUGCUGUCUGUCUGGUCAUUCUAGGUCUCAGCUGAAUGUUAAACGGUCUGAACACAAGGAUAGGAUCAUUACUACUAAUGCGUGCACACAUUAGUAUCACCUCUUCUGUCCGUUCUUAACAGUACUAAGUAAAACGUAUAACUAAGUAUUCUGACAACUUAUCAAUGUUUACUCGUUUUCAGCUGGAUGGUACUUUUAUUUAAAUGUUUUUAAAUACAGGCUUCCUUUGGUUUUAUUGCUAUCGGAAGGCAUUGUUUUUGUCUGUAUGGUUUGAAAAAGUAAUGUGCUGAUAUUCAAUGGUUCAAACUAAGUUUAACAUGGUUUAAAAUCUUUCUCAUCAGUAUUUUGAUUGCUGCUGAAACAAUAUUAUAUUGUGCUGUCUACUCAAACAACCAAACCUGUUGCAUAAAUAAGAUCAAGUGCUUUCAUCUUCUGAAUGCACAGUCACAACAGUUCUUAUUACAAUGUAUGUUCUCAUACCCUUUUUUUCUGUUUUGUUGGAGAUCCGGUGUAUUCCCUGAGAUUUGCCUUUCAAGUCAAAAAUUGCAUCGUAUUUCAAUGUGUGCAGACUAAUGGUGAACGUUGCAUCUAAUCAGGUGCAGUCAUAUUUACUUAUUGCAUAGUUCUUUGGUUUAAGGUAGGCUUAAAAGAAACAGCUUGUUCAUAUGAUUACUGUAAAGGUAUGUUGAGUACUAGUACUCACAGCAAUAUGAGAGAAACUGUAUUAACUGUGAACUAGGGCAUUUUAACUAAAUUAAGCUGGUAGCCUACAUUACUUCAAAGCAAAAAUAAGGGCUGUUAGCUUAUCAUGUGUCCAUGUUAAUGUUUUCUGGAUAAACUGAAUACUUUGUCUCUUUACUGUACUAUUUUAGUUUUUAUCCGUUCAAAUAAUGUAGCCUAUCACAGUGUUUACCUGAGAAUCAGUGGGUACUUAUAUAAACUGGUAGCAUAACCCUACAGUAUGUUGCGCUCAUGAUACUCACUCAUAUCACUGCAACCCUGUCUCGCCAGAAUUCUUCUUAAUGUUGCUGUAAUAUUUAAGAAUGUAAAAACGUAUUUCUUUCGUCUGUCCAUAUUAAUGGCUUAUGUAAAUUGCAAAGGGCAUCAUUUUAUAUUAAUGUACAAAAUGACACUGAACGUCUGUCUCACCCUCAGUGCUCUACCCAUAAGUGUGAUUAAAACUGUGUGAAAGUUAGACUGUUCAUCUUGAUUAAGUGUUGAUCUAAUGGACAACUUCCCUUCACUCCUCUUUUUGCACUACAGAGGACGGGGACUGGUUGUGCCAACAUGCUGGCAAAGCAACGAGUACUCUCCGGUGUUUGGCUACAAAUAAAACAUACCAAAUGGA